CUAUAUCUCCGCCGUAUUAAUAAUACAAAGCUCUCCGCAAGCAAAAGCACACCUCCUAACGUCUUUCUCCGAUCGAUCGCCGUGUCUGCCGAUUUGAGCGAAACUACGAGAUCCCAGAGAGCAGAUCCUCUUCUGCUUAAUCUGCAACGAUGCCUCUCAGCCUCGAUAUCAAGAGGAAAUUUGCUCAACGAUCUGAGAGAGUCAAAUCUGUGGAUCUGCAUCCUACAGAGCCAUGGAUUCUAGCCAGUUUGUAUUCUGGAACCUUGUGUAUUUGGAACUACCAAACACAGGUGAUAACAAAGUCCUUCGAGGUGACUGAUGUGCCAGUUAGGUCGGCCAAGUUUAUCCCACGCAAGCAAUGGGUUGUGGCAGGAGCGGAUGAUUUGCACAUCCGUGUAUACAACUACAAUACAAUGGACAAGGUUAAAGUUUUCGAGGCUCAUUCGGACUACAUUAGGUGUGUUGCUGUCCAUCCCACCCUUCCGUAUGUGCUGUCAUCUUCUGAUGACAUGCUCAUCAAACUUUGGGACUGGGAAAAUGGUUGGGCUUGUACUCAGAUAUUUGAGGGACACUCGCAUUAUGUGAUGCAAGUGGUAUUUAACCCAAAAGACACCAACACUUUUGCCAGUGCAUCGCUUGACCGUUCCAUAAAGAUAUGGAAUCUUGGUUCCCCAGACCCAAAUUUUACACUGGAUGCUCAUCAGAAAGGAGUCAACUGCGUAGAUUACUUUACGGGGGGUGAUAAGCCCUAUUUAAUUACUGGCUCUGAUGACCAUACUGCUAAGGUAUGGGACUAUCAAACCAAAAGUUGUGUCCAGACGCUAGACGGGCAUACCCACAAUGUAUCUGCAGUAUGUUUCCAUCCGGAGCUUCCAAUAAUACUCACAGGUUCUGAGGACGGAACUGUUCGCAUUUGGCACGCCACGACUUACAGGCUAGAGAACACACUGAAUUAUGCCCUCGAUCGAGUUUGGGCCAUUGGUUACAUAAAAAGUUCGCGCCGGGUUGUGAUUGGAUAUGAUGAAGGAACCAUCAUGGUUAAACUUGGACGAGAAAUUCCUGUCGCUAGCAUGGACAGUAGCGGAAAAAUUAUAUGGGCUAAGCAUAAUGAAAUCCAAACGGCAAACAUCAAAAGUCUCGGUGCAGGUUAUGAGGUUACUGACGGAGAAAGACUUCCCUUGGCUGUUAAAGACCUGGGGACAUGUGAUCUUUAUCCACAAAGCUUGAAGCACAAUCCUAACGCGAGGUUUGUCGUAGUCUGCGGUGAUGGAGAGUACAUAAUCUACACAGCUUUGGCUUGGAGAAAUAGAUCUUUCGGUUCUGGACUUGAAUUUGUUUGGUCAUCGGAGGGAGAAUGUGCAGUUCGAGAAAGCUCGUCAAAGAUAAAGAUAUUCAGUAAAAAUUUCCAGGAAAGGAAGAGUAUUCGGCCUACUUUCUCAGCUGAGAAGAUUUUCGGAGGAACCCUGUUAGCAAUGUGUUCAAAUGAUUUCAUUUGCUUCUAUGAUUGGGCUGAAUGUAGGCUGAUUCAGCAAAUCGAUGUCGCAGUAAAGAAUGUUUAUUGGGCUGAAAGUGGUGAUUUAGUAGCCAUUGCUAGUGAUACGUCAUUCUACAUCCUGAAGUACAAUCGUGACUUGGUUUCCUCACAUUUUGAUAGUGGAAGACCAAGUGAUGAAGAAGGUGUUGAGGAUGCUUUUGAGGUCAUCCAUGAGAAUGAUGAACGUGUUAGGACAGGUAUAUGGGUAGGGGAUUGCUUCAUUUACAACAACUCUUCUUCGAAGCUUAACUAUUGUGUUGGAGGCGAGGUAACCACAAUGUAUCAUUUGGACCGUCCAAUGUAUUUGUUAGGCUAUAUUGCCAAUCAAAGCCGGGUAUACUUGGUAGACAAAGAAUUCAAUGUCAUAGGAUAUACCCUGCUGCUUAGCCUGAUUGAAUACAAGACACUUGUUAUGCGAGGUGAUUUGGAUAAAGCCAAUGAAAUCUUACCUACAAUUCCAAAAGAGCAGCAUAACAAUGUCGCUCAUUUCUUGGAGUCUCGGGGAAUGAUUGAAGAUGCUUUAGAAAUUGCGACAGAUGCUGACUACAGAUUUGAACUAGCCAUACAGUUGGGUAGACUUGAGAUUGCAAAGGAAAUCGCUGAAGAAGUGCAGAGUGAGUCUAAAUGGAAGCAGUUAGGAGAGUUAGCCAUGUCUUCUGGGAAGCUGCAACUGGCCGAGGAUUGCAUGAAGUACGCUGUGGAUUUAAGUGGUUUGCUACUACUAUACUCUUCCUUGGGAGAUGCUGAAGGGGUGUCAAAACUUGCAUGCCUUGCCAAGGAGCAAGGAAAGAACAAUGUCGCCUUUCUUUGCUUAUUCAUGCUGGGUAGAUUGGAAGAUUGUCUGCAAUUAUUGGUGGAGAGCAACCGGAUACCAGAAGCUGCUCUGAUGGCACGUUCUUAUCUUCCAAGCAAAGUUUCAGAGAUAGUUGCUCUUUGGAGGAAAGAUCUCAGCAAGGUUAAUUCGAAAGCAGCAGAAUCUUUGGCUGAUCCUGAAGAGUACCCAAAUCUUUUCGAGGAUUGGCAAGUUGCUCUUUCUGUUGAAGCGAAAGCUACAGAGACGAGGGGAGUUUAUGCUGCUGCAGAAAAUUAUCCAACCCACGCUGAUCAACCUGCCAUUACCCUCGUGGAAGCCUUCAGAAACCUGCAAGUUGAAGCAGAGGAAUCACUUGAGAAUGGACACAUGGAACAAGAGUCUGAGCAGGUAGCUGAAGAAAAUGGUCAUGAAGAGAAUGAAGAGGAACAUGAAGAAGAAGAAGAAGAAGAAGAAGUGAAUCAAGAAGAGGGAGUUGUUGUUGAUGGAGACUCAACGGAUGGUGGCGCUGUACUUGUUAAUGGAAGUGAGGGUGAGGAAGAGUGGGGUACGAAUAACAAAGGAAACCAACCAGCCUAAUAAAGCAAAGCUUACGCCACGUCAAUAGCCAGUUACAGUACUUGGGAUGCGUUCCGGAGCAGGAAGUGGUGGUCUUUUUUUCUUCAAAGUGAUCGCAAGUCACCUUCUUGUCAGAUGAUGAAGUUUCAAAAUUCAAAUAUCCCUUUUCAGAUAAAACAAAACCUGAAAACAGUAUUCCUUUACUUUGUGCUUCCUCGGACAAUAGCCAGAUAGAAGAUAUUAUACUCUCCAAAGGAUACAAAGAUAAGUUAUAGCUUUUUUGUGAAUAUUAUAGAGUCAAUGCAAUUGAAAUAAUAACUAUAAAAUUAAUUUCUCUCUGAAACAAUUUCUUCUUUAUAUGUACGUCGAAGGAAAUUUGAUUAUUUAAACAAUUUAUCCUUUUAUUUUUGAUUUCAGGUAAAUUAUUUCACGGGUUCUCUGGAGACCGGUCAGGACGAAAAUAUCAUACUCUCCAAAGAAAGAAAGAUAAGUUUUAGCUAUUUUAGUGAAUAUUAUUGAGUCAAUAGAAAUGCUUCUGUAAUUAUAAAAUUUAUUUCUCUCUUAGUAACGCAUUGUUUCCUUAUAUGUACUUUUCAGAUAAAUUGAUUAUUUGUUAUAUUCAAGAAAUCUGUUUUAUGUUUUUAUUUCAGGAAUUUUAUUUCAAUGGUUCUCCCAAAUAAUGACAUUUACUUCUCCUCGUGAUACUUGAUGAACAAUAACUGAGUUACUCAAUCUCAAAGAUGUCUGAAGAUGUUGACAUGUAUGUAGCACUACAUAUGAGAUGCCAUAAAGACAUUGGAAUAAAGCAAAACCAUAACCAGAUAAGUAUAACUCUCGAGAAAAGGAUUGUAAUGAUCAGUUGAGGUUUCAAAAUGGUCAUGAACUACUAUUAUGUUCUUAUGGUCAUUUUUUUUAUUCUGUAGUAGGUCAAAUAUAAAGCCAAAAGCAGCAAGUAGGAAUACAGAAGCAUAUAAAUAGCCCCCAAUAGAGACCAAUCCUUGCAUCAAUAUAAAAAGUAAGUUGUUUUCUAACUAAGUAUAUGUGUUUUAGAUGAUUAUUUCCUGGCUGUAAUUGGUAGUUAGGCUUAUCCCUGGAGUAUUCUUGAUGUGUUCUAUUCUAUUUCCUGUUUUGACUGAAAAUAAUUAAGCAAGUAACGCAUUCUUCUGACAUGUAAACAUUGCUUGAAACACAAUAGUAUACUGUAGAAAACCAUUGGUUCUAAAGUAAACAAUGCUUCAAACACAAUAGUAUAUUGUAGAAAACCAUUGGUUCUAAAGUAAACAUUUUAAAAUGGAUGUAAACAUUGCUUCAAACACAAUAGUAUAAUGUAGAAAACCAAAAACGAAACAACAAACUUAAUUCAUAGAUUCUGGAAUGCCUCACUCUCACGAUGUCUUCCACAGCAAACGUCCACCGCUUUAGACAUAUAAUCAAAUACAAAAACACAUAAAUAAGACAUAAAAGAAAAAGAGACAGUAUAAAAUUAAAAAUAGCCUUCAGAUAAUUAAUAUUGCCUAACCUCCUCGCCUGCUGAACAGUAGUUUCAGAGAUUGUUGAAAACCUGUUUGAAAACAACAUUCAUUGUUUUUCGCUGAGGUUUUCCAUCUUUGUCGACAAUCAGAAUCUUUAGUCCCUUCUUAGAUGUCACUCUAGAAAUAGCUACAUAAAGCUGUCCAUGUGAAAACACUGGUCUUGGUAGAAAAAUACCAACUUCCUUCAGUGAUUGACCUUGGCUUUUGUUGAUGGUUAUCGCAAAAGCGACAGCCAAAGGAAGCUGCCUUCUACGCAUUUUGAAAGGCAAUUUGGUGUCUGAUGGUUCUAUCAAUAACCUAGGAAUGUUCACAGUUUCACCAACUUUUUCCCCUGUAAGAAUCUUCGCUCCGACCAUAAACGGCAUCAGUUCAGUAAUCACUAAUCUUGUUCCGUUCAUUAAUCCUUCUGUAGGAGCAAUAUUCCUCAGUACCAUCACUGGACAUCCAAUCUUCAGUCUUAUACUAUGAUUUGGCAAACCAGACACCUUAAUGCUGUUUAGAAAAUCCGUACCCAAUCCUUCAUCGUUAACUGAUCUUACAUCAGACGGAUCAAUACUAUCGGAGCUCAGAUAAAUCUUUUCUUCACCUGAGUAUUUAAAACAUGUUAGUUAUAGGAAUACAUGAUAGUAUAGUACAUUGAAGAUGAAAUUUGAGUAUUUACCAUCAAGUUUAUCCAACAUGUAUUCGUUAAUAGUAUUGACAUCUUCGUUUGUUGGACAUAGAAUAGCUCUCUCCUGGAAAAACUUUGGGUUUUUGUUUUCUUGUAACAAAGAGAACUCUCCAUACACUGCCUUGCUUAUUGCUUCUAUAGGCUCAUUAGCGUCUAAUAUGAGAAACUCUUCUGGUAUAUCAAUUAAAGCCUCCCCAUCAUUAGGCUCAGAUAGUUUACCAUCUCCAACAUCUAAUAUCCAUUCAGAAAACUCCUUAAUAUCAGUAGCCUCUUCAGGAGAUAGCCCAGCAGACAGCAAUCGCAUGUUCUUAGUCAAUCUGAGAACUUUGCAAUGCUCCCAAAGAUACGACGAAUUCAGAGCUGCCAAAACUAUAUCAGCCCGAUUGCCACCAUAUAUUACUGGAAGUACCUGUCUAAAGUCACCUCCAAAAACCACAACCUUUCCUCCAAAAGGCUUCUUGCUUUUAGUUCCAACAAUAUCAGUUAGACUUCUAUCCAAAGACUCAAAACAAUGCUUGCUCAUCAUAGGAGCUUCAUCCCAUAUGAUGAGAGAAGCUUCUUUCACUAAGUUCGCUUGAUCUGUUCCAUGAGUCAUAUUACAUGUUGAAAACUCAUCAGGACUUAAAGGUAUACCAAACCUUGAAUGGGCAGUUCGUCCACCUGGUAACAAUAAAGAUGCAAUCCCACUUGAUGCAACGUUAAGAACAAUAUCACCUCUUGAUCGGAUUGCUGCAGAUAGUAAUCUCCAAAUAAAAGUUUUACCCGUGCCACCAAAUCCAUAAACAAAGAACAUUCCACCUUUAUCUUCCUUGACAGCAUCAGUGAUCUCAUCGUAAACUUUCCUCUGUUCGUCAGUCAUUUUUGGAAGAUCACUAUGAAGAGUAGCUAUCAGUUCUUCACGAUUGUAGUUACGUUCGUCUACUAUGAGGACAUUGGAGUCGUGAAUACUGCUACUACGAACUUUAGGCAUAGAAUCAUACUGUGAAAGAGAACUCCCAUUACGUCUCAUAAUCUUUUCAAUCUCUUGGAGAGCAAACUGUUUUUUGUCAUCAUCACUUAAUAUGAGACCUACAAAUACAACGUCAGGAACUGUUAAAAUGAAAAUAAACUACUAUAAAUUACUGACUGUUUAGAAUAUAGAUAUACAUAUAGUUUUUUAAAUUCUUACCAGGCCUAUUGAGAAGUUGUCGCCUGUUAUACUCAAUAUCUUCAGCCAAAUGCUCCCAUGUUUUUUCCCAAACAUUCUCUGGAGUGGACAAACUACCAGAAAGCAGCAUCAUGACGAAAACAUGUCUAAGAGAACUUGCAAAACCGUCAAAACUUCUCCUUCUUAUAUCCUGGAUAUACUCUUCAUCAUCAUCUAGCAACCCACGUGCAAAACAUGCCUCUUUAUAGCUAGGAUAUAAAACAUCGUUAAAUGUCUUCAUACAAUCAUAACUGGUAGGCCCUCUAACUACGUUCAGCAACACUCGCAGAUAAUAAGAUUUCUCUUGAGUCCGUGGAGCAUAAUUUAUUCUGCCUAUGCUGAAUCCCUUUUUCCGCUUGCUGAACUUCUUAUGUGUUUUAUCAUAAGUAUAGAAGUUGGGAAUCUGACCAUAAGUAAGAGUUCUUGCAAAUUCAUCAACUUUACACAACUCAAACCAUGCCAAAAACAUGGUAUGUGUGAUAAGCUUACGAUUCAUGACAUCCUUCAUCUUAUCUUUGCCUUUGAAAAAAACAGUCUGUUUUCCGGGAAGAUGGAAUUGAAGCUUCUCAACGGAUGUAGAUCGAUAAUGUAUUGGGAAUGCAAAAGUUCGCCAUGAACCUUCACACGAAGAAACGUAUCUGCAAAAAAAACAAAAGAUUAGUUAUAAUAAGAUAGAGCACAAUUCUGUAAAACCGACCAUAAUUGAAUAUUCCGCGCUUCAGAAACCUGCAAUCGAAAAAAUCUCGGAAUUCAUUUUUUUCCUUCUCAACGUUUGCUUCCCCAUUACUACCACCAUUAGAUUCAACACAACCUGGUGGCUCCACAACAACAGUGACACGAUCACUACCCUUGUUGAUGUACUUAAAUAAGUACUUGAUAGAACCUGCUUGGUUGCACCACUCCACAUUAAUAUGAGCUCUGUAUAAUAGAGAGAGUUGCUUGUUGUAUGGGAUAACAUAUCUAUUAUCACAUUUCACGCCAUUCUUCAUAACAAAAUGAUCAGACUGCUCUUUCCUUCUAUAAAUUGGAAAACCUUCUUUAGAAACCGUGGUCUUCUCGGCAUAGGAUUUGGGAUACAACUUAGAGCAUUUUCCAUUCUCCAUACAUGGUGCAUUCCUAUUAGCGUGACCACAAGGUCCGUGAAUCAUCAUAUCAGAGACCACGCCAUAGAGCUCUGGUUCAGUGUCCUUAUUAGGAAUUUCCGCCUUUAUGAUCUUGUCAAUAUCAUCAGUCAUGGGAAACUUGCAUGUUGGAUGCAUGAAGAGCAGAAUAUGAGCAUGUGGCAGCCCACGUUUUUGGAACUCGAUUGUGUACAUAGCUGAAACAUUAAAAACAAUUGAAAAAAUGUUAAGUAAUUGAAUCAUUGAGCUCAGAUCAAUCAAUUUGAAUUAAUAAAGAGUGUUAAACUAUAACUUACAUGCAACCGUCUUUCCUAGCAGAUUUUUCUUUUUAAGUUUAAAUUGAUGUCUGUUAUUGAAAUCCCAUAAAUAUGUCUACUUACCUAUUAAGUUAGAAAAACAUAAAUACAAAAUCAAUGACCCCGAGAUUUUAGGUCCAAGUAGACUAAACUUGGAGAAAGAUGUUUCCCAUAUUUAUGAUAUCUUCAUACCGAGAUUUUGGUAUCUUUAAUUUAAAUUGAUGUUUGAUUUUAGCGAUAACUUGGUGAAAGGGUUUUCCCAUAAUUACGAUAUCUUGUCACCGAGAUUUUAGUGUAUAUUGAGUAACUUGGUGAAAGGGUUUUCCCAUAAUUGAUUAUUUCCAAAGAAUCAUUUAAUAUUUCUAUUACUGAAAUAAGAAUUUAGGUGAAGUUAUUAUAUUUAUAUUAGUGUAUAUUCUGAUAUCGAAUCAAUUGUUAUGGUUUUCUCAUAAUUGGACUAAGAUAUUAUAAUUCUACAAUGACUCGUCUGGGACUCGUCACCGUAACUAUAAUUUGGAUCGACCAUUUAUUUUAUAUAUGUAAUUGUUUUUUUUUUUGAGAAUUUAUAUAUGUAAUUGUUUGAAAGCAGUGGAGACAUUUAGAUCUUGAUACAUCAUACUUUCAUAUUUAAUAAAAGAAUGGGAUUUAUAUA